CCAAGGGGCGCCGACUGCUUCCGGUGCACAGCGCGAGAGGCCUCGGAGCCGGCCUGAGCCGCAGCCUGGAACUGCAGGAGCCCAGCCCGUCACCUGAGUUCAAACCACCGUUCUGCCUACAGCAGCAAGAGUAGAGAUUUACAGAACCCAGGAUGUCUGGUGACCAACAAGCAGCAGCAGUCUCUCAUCAGAAAAGCAGAGAAGCCCACAUUUGUGAUGACCUUCGUGCUUGCCUGUCCAUCAUGCCUCCCAGCAGCUCCUUUUGGCCUGCAACCUCCAGGUAAGAGAGCCUUUGAUGGUAAUAGCUUUUGUCUUAUUUAACUUGCUAGAUUUCCAGAUA
rnacentral:lncRNA from 1 species